CAAUAGCGUAUAUUAAAGUUGUUGCAGUUAAAAAGCUCGUAGUUGGAUUUCUGAUCGAGACAUCAGGUCGGGUCCGAGAGGAUCAUGUACUUUGAUUUUGCUUUGAUCAUCCUUGGGGAGAGCAUUUCUGGCAUUCAGUUGUCGGGAUUGGGAUCCUCAUCGUUUACUGUGAAAAAAUUAGAGUGUUCAAAGCAGGCCUCGGCCUCUGAAUACAUUAGCAUGGAAUAAUAAGAUAGGACUUUGGUGGUCUAUUUUGUUGGUUUGCACGCCAAAGUAAUGAUUAAUAGGGAUAGUUGGGGGGUAUUCGUAUUCAAUUGUCAGAGGUGAAAUUCUUGGAUUUAUGGAAGACGAACUACUGCGAAAGCAUUUACCAAGGAUGUUUUCAUUAA
rnacentral:rRNA from 1 species